UGAAGGUGGAUGUCUUUAAUAAGUUUAGGGAUAGGUUUCAAUUUCCUGAUGAAACUAGGGCUCGUCUUCCCAGGAAGGGCGAUAAGGCUUGCGUUUUGCCCAUGGUGAGGUCUGUUUUUACAAGGCUGCUUUUUUGUGUGGCCUAAGGUUUCCCAUUCAUCCAUUCAUUAUGGAACUCCUAAAUCACCUACAUAUUGCCCCCGGGCAGCUUAUGCCGAAUUCUUGGAGGAUCGUCAUAAGUUGCAUGGUGAUUUGGACGACCAUAGCGGAUGGAGACAUGAUCACUCUCAAUGAGUUUAUCCAUCUCUAUCGCUUAAAAGAGUCCAAGGAGUUUGUAUAUUAUGAACUUAUUCCCUGGGAUAGGAGAUCUCGUCUCGUCGUCGACCUUCCUUCGUCCUUCCAUUACUGGAAGUCCAGAUAUUUUUUUUGUGUCAGGCGAUGGUUGGGAGACUUUAUUCGACGACUUUUGAGGGAAUGUCCCUAGGUUGCUGCGCCGGUGGGAGACCCCUCAUCUUGUGAAGGAGCGUCCUGAACUUGAGAGCCAGUUUGAAGAAAGAGUUUAGGAAGUGAUUAAGUACGCAAGGACAAUCGACGACUUUGACGAGCUGGUCGAUCCACGCACAUUGGCUCGUCACUGUUUGGGGCUUGAGCCUUCACUCUACAUUCUUCAAGCAAUCGACUGAGAACAGAGGAAACAUGAGUUGUCUUGAUAUGCAUGAUCGUUCUUUUUCUUCUUUCCUAUUUUAAUUCUUGAAUUUUCCUUCCUUUUUGGUGCAGAGAUGACGAGCAAGUUUAACAAGGAUAUGUACGCAAAAAUCAAGGCGAAGAAGGACGAGCCCCUUUCCAGUAUUGGCCAUAAAAUGUUAAGGAUAACUGAUAAGGAGAAAGAGAAAGAGACGGCUGAGAGAGGUUCGUCCACCUCUACCUUGGACGAAGGAUGGACAGCUUCUCCUGCAAUCUCUAUUGAGGAGGUCCUUGUCCCCAAGAGACGGAAGACAGGGUACAAGGGCAAAGAGAAAAUGGGCUCCAGUGUUUGGACUGACGCUAAAGCAGCCAUGGCUUAGGCAAAUGAGCUUUUAACUCCUGAAGAAAUGAAUGAGAUUUCCCUGGUACCCUACCACGAGAUGGUGAACUAGCAUGUUCAUAAGCUCAUCCAGGUGUUGGGAGAGAUGAUGCAUCUACUACUCAAUUUUUGGCGAAUAAAGAGAAGGCCGUUAUGGCCACUUCAAAAGUGGAGGCUUUGGAGGCUGAGGCUUUGAGGUUGUGGAAGGACUUGAUUGCUGCCAUGGAUGCACAUAAUACUUCCAAGGAGUAAGUCAAGGUUCUGACUGAGCAGCUUGGAGCCAAGAAGUUGUUGGUAAAGCAGAAGGACGAACUUCUCGCAUCGGCUGGCCAGAGGAUGAAAGCUGUAGUGGCUAAAGCCGUCCUUACCUUCCAGACGACAGAAGAAUACAACACCAUUUUGUUCCAGUGGUACUUCAAAGGUUUCAAAUUAUUGAGGAGGUACUUGGUGAAGCACGAGCUUGGAGUUAAUCUGGAAGACUUGGAUUUUGAAGCCGUGGAUAAGGAGAUUGAGGCGGACAAGGCGGCCCAAGUUGCUCAGGCUUCUGUGGUUUCUGGCGAGGAUCCUCCUGAGGCGGACAAGGGUGGUGACGAUGCUCCUUUAGCUUGACCGUGCUGCAC